CCAUACCAAAAAACUUUGACUUGUAUAUGACUAUCUUAACGUGGCUAAGAAAACGAAGAGACGCAAACAGUUAUAUACAGAAUUUUCUUGAGUAGUGCUGAAACUCUAAACCUAAACAAUUGUUUCUUCUUAUACCCAAAUCAUGGCCAUACUAUUUCAGCUUGGAAUUAACACUUGAAAUCAAGAAAGGAGAGUUGCUUUAUUCUUUGAUCAGGAUGCAAAGCAAAAUGAAUAUAUACGUGCAUCAUCACGGAGAGCUUAAUUAUGAUGGUAUCAACUGCUAUAAUGGAGAUGGUAUACUUUUUUGUCAAGUCCUUUUGCCAGACUCAAGUGUUCCAGGUGAAGGGAACUCUUUCGUCGUUAUCAGCCACCAAACCUGGAAGCAUAGCCAUUCAAAGCGUUUUUAAAAGGGCUAAUGUUGAUCCAGCACUUGUACAAAGGGUUUUCUUUGGAAAUGUUCUUUCUGCAAAUCUGGGUCAGGCUCCUGCUAGGCAAGCAGCAUUAUGAGUUUCAUAAGUUGUCAAUUAUUUUGGUAUUUAUUUAUUUUAUAGUGUACGAUGCAGACUUGAUAUUGAUGGCUUGAGCAACACAAGAAAUUUAAUUUUAUAUUUUAAGAGA